UCCGAUUUCCCCUGACAGCUCCACAAAGCCUCUUUUCACAGCAAUGACACAGAUCUUUCCCCAAUAUACCUUUUUUUCUGGGAAGGGGAGCCUUAAUCUUUUUGGAUUUGACUCAUAUUAGUUCUGGGAACACAGGUGGCCUUGCACUAGGAGAAAAUUGCCAACAUUCUUUUUUUGGAUCAUUCCGUCGACAUGAAGCUAUCACCAUCGUGUGGAGCUCCCGAGAACCUCGCCAGCAGACCUGUUCUGAAGAAAAUCACCACUGAUGGGACAUUGUCAUUUCCUAGUAAUGUUGUUGGGAUCAUUUGAAACUGUAAACACUUGCAGGGAGCUGUAGAACAUUCAACAUGGCUCAUGAUUUUAGGUCUUACCCUGCAAAUUAUGGGCAAUAUAAAUGAACUGG